GAUUCCUUUCUCAAUUCUAUAUAAAUUUGCAUUAUCCCUAUUCCUCAUUAAUGUAUCUGGUUCUCGCAUAAUCACACUUUUCUAAACAAUUCUUGGCUAUCUGAGCAGUAUGAUUUUGUUAUGGAUUUUAAAAUGGACGACGUGUAGUGGUUCGGAUGGGGUGAAAAACCGAGGUCUUGUGCCCUCAUAGCACACUGCAUGGCGCAUGCCCGUCUUCAUUACCCCAGCGGGAGCAGACAAGUUAGACUCAGUCUCAAGAAGACUACUAUUGUUUUAAGAAUCAGUCCUGCCUCGUCCCACUCGGCUAGCUAGAAUACGUUUGAAUUGUUACCUGUCUCUCUUCUCUUAAUCCUUUUUCGGAAAUAUUAGGUGUUUUCACCCAUGGAAAGUCUUCUAAAAAGGGUUAGGGUACAGAUUCACGAGUGAAGAGAUUUAGUUUGAACACCUAUGGUAAUUGGUGUGGUAGUUGGACUCAUGCGCCGUGGGGUGGCUGUUGCCCUACUUGCCAGCUAGCACCAUGUUUGAAUUUCACAUGUAAGCCUGGGAUAGACAACAUUGACCAGGCGUGUGCGAGAUUCACAGUUUGUCAUCACUGUGGAAUGGAGACUCCCAAUAAGGCAUUACCUCAUUGUGACUGCGUUCGAGAUAUUGCCAGUGAUCUUAGAGAUGCGAGAUGCGAUGGAUCUGUACCGAAAUGCUACAGCUACAGAAACAGACUGUAUGGCUUUAUGUCCAAUCAUAAAUGCUGGGGACGGCUUAUGCUCAAAAUUGUCCGCCAUUAUCAAUGUGGAUUCAAACAAAGUAACUGCAAAGGCAACUCUUGUACAGUUGUCCCACAGAUGUGCGAGAAAAAGGAAGUGAAGAUUUUAAAUAACUUCAAUUGUUUGAAUUAUUCUACGUGUGAAGAAACCUUCCGAACACUUGGUUGAUCUACGUGAUCCCUAUAGUUAACAUUCUAAAAUAUAAAAAUAUUAAUUUAAAUGGAAUAUACAAAACCUUAUAUGCAUCUUCUAUCUUGGAAUAAAAUAUAUGACUGCUCUAAUUGACCGGUGAAUAUUUCGUCCAGAAGCCCUACAGCCAACUAAUUGAUCUUUUCGUGUCGAUAUUUUCCUUUUGAAACCAAUGUGGCAUCUAUGCCUUGGUGGGGUGGGAGCAGGGCCCAUGAGAGGAGGGGGCAGCUGGGAUACUUGUCCAGGGGUCAGGGGCCUAGAGGGGCCCAGAGGUAUGCCGAGUAAUGAUUUUUUUAUUAAAAUAAAUGCUUGUAUAAAUUAAUAAAAAAAACCAACAACUAUGCACUGUUACUUUAUCGUAAAGUAGAAGAAAACCGGUGAUUUUUCUGAAUGUGGGUAAGUAGCGGAGGCCAGUGUUAGAAUCGGAUUCUGUCAGUCCUAGUUCCGCUUGAGGCUCUAGUCAACGUCAGGGUUUCCGAGCUUCCUUCCGUUUGAAUCCCGUUCAACAUAAUUUUGGGUAUUGAAAAAAUAAACGAAUAGUUUAUGUGAUGAACAAUUUUUUUUUGUUGAUAUUUUGACGUCUGAUAGUCACGGUCUUUGUUUUUCCAUUUGUUUUCUUGCUUAUA